rnacentral:lncRNA from 1 species
CAAUGGCACAAUCCACAUGUUUCUGAGACUCUGAGUAACUAAUCUGAGACACAGAGUCACAAAGGCAAAAUGUAUUAUCGUUAUGGUUUUUUGGGAUUCGACAUUUUCACGCAUUUUCCAUCAUGAAUAUUCAUAAGAUAGUCUCACCUAUAUCUUAAUGUAGUUGGCCAAAUCAUGUGAUCACGUGGCGUGAGAUUCCUGUCCAUUUUACCGAAAUGUCGUUUCUGUUGCUGUGCUAGUGCUACCGCUACCUAAUAAAAAGUAGCAAUAACCACCUGCAGUCCUGCAUGUCUAUCCCAAUCCAUGCAGAAACACUCGACAGGAAUUAAAGCUAUUGUGGUUUGACAGCCAGAAGUCUGUGCUUCUUCAUUGCUGCCCAUGCUAUAUGUUGCAGCCAGCUGGAAUAAGGUGUGAAGAAGUGCCAUCUGGUAGUUCGGAUACCCACAGGCCACAGAUGCUGCUGACGAGAAAUUGUUAACUGAGCUACCACGCAUAUAAAGAUGAAACUUGUCAGAUGUCCCAAGUAUUUAUAUUUGUUCGUCAAGGGUGUUGUUAAGGUUUGUUUUCCUGAAAGAGAGAAGUAAUGAAGAAAAAAAAACCAACUUAAACUGAACCAUUUUUCACCUUUUCUGUGGUGGAAAAUCACAUGUAAUGUCAUCAAAAUGUAACGAAAAUCCCCCCUCCCCCAAGGAGAAGAAUAAAGCUGAAUUCUGGUAAGACAAGAAUGUCUGAAGAUCCUUACAUUUUCAAAUUCAAGGAAGAGAAAGAGAACCAUAAUAAAGCAGUCGCUGAGAUGGAUACAUUUAUCAUUUAAAAGUAUUGUCGCUUACGAUGGCACGGUGCGAGGCUCCGACGGACUUGUACUAGAGUCCUUUUUACAGGAUGGUGUGACAGAACAAUUGCAGUUGUGUCUGCAGAAGAAUAGGAGAUGUACGAGAGGCUGCAACUCCUCUAGUUCGAAUUACAAAGUAGCCAGUGGGAAUGUUAGCUGACCAUUUCUAGAUUCCGUUGUGUUAAAGGACGGAACGUCUAUUCCUUGAAAAAGUGGGCCCAGUGUACUACUGUUGUGCAUAAUGGCAAGCAACACAUAAAAUCAAACGUGUUUUUGUUGCACCGGAGUCUGGUGAUGGCGACAUCAUUAUAAAAAGGAUCAGUGUUAACAUUGAGACCAUGCUCGAGAUCGCUGGAAUUCUAGAUUUCAAUCGCCGUCACUCUAACGAUAUUUAAGAGGUGAAAAAAUACUACCGCAUCGAGGCUGCCUCAAGUGCAAUCGUCAAGGAGAUGAGAAACGUGUCUAAAGUGUACGGAAUCACCGAGAUUUUUGGCUCUCUUUUUGGCCAGAUUCGGGACAUCAAGCGAAAGUUACCGGCUAUUCACCCGUUUUGGAAUGGGCGCUUUACUUCACCAUUGUAGCAAUUUUUUACACACACGCUCUCUACGUAACACCAGCUUGAUCCCUGCCAUUGAGCGUCUUAUUCCUCACGUCAAGAGCGGCUCCGUUCCUCACGCCGUCCACCGCUCUGCAGGCCAUCGCCACUGUUAACCACAACAAGUUCUUGUCUAUUAUUCUACCCGUGAUCUUCAAUGCUUUCGCCACCGUCUCCACCUUGUUCCGCGUUCAACCCAAUUUCUUCGAGCUUCACAGCUGAUCGCUGGCGUCAUUUGGGACGCAAUCAAGAAGUUCUUUACUUCGUGAUGACCAUCUUCCGCAACUACGCUGAUUCCAGGAAUCCUUGCACAACUGCAGUUAUUACGACGCCGCGUCGCCCACAUCAAGACCAAGUCCUUCCGUUACCGCCUGGUGAUAAAUCUGGCCACCAGAGCCUUGAAUUCAAUUACAUCUUUCUUAAGAUCAUGAUUCGUUUGGAAGGUGUUGAGGACGUUUAAAAUGUCAAUUUCGGGUGCAUCAAUGCCAACCAUGUCCAUGGCCUGACGGCCUAUGGGGCCUAACGGCCUGACCGGAUCUCCCUGGCCAACCCGAAAUCACCGAGCUUGAUAAAUUUUUCAUUAUUUUUAUCAAAUAGGACUCCUACGUCCGUCUUUUCCGCAAACUGGAUCUCAAGGACUUCAAGCUGGAUACUCUGAAGGAUGUUUUGCAAAAGACCAUAAAGGAUAUACUUUGAUGUACCUUCACGUGGUCAUGAAGAAAACGCUGGACUGGUGGAAGAAAAAGGAUUGACCAAGAUGGUCUCACGGCUUGAAAUUGACCCGCAGCAUGGUCAUGCUCGGCGGACAACACAUUAACUGGAGAGUCAACGAUGUCGAUAUCACCGUUUAAACCGGAAAUCUUGAUGGACAAUCGAGUCCCAAUGUCCCUUUGCGCAGCCCCUUGCUGUUUCUUCGGCAUCUGCUGUGGCAGUUCAAUCGUCACCAAGCGAGGAUUUCGAGCUCUCAGAAGGAGAGUGUAUCAAGCCCCGUUAUGGCAGUUCUUCCUGACGAUGGCUGAAAAUUUAUUGCAGGAACAGUGAAUGGAAUAAUUGCGGUCUCAAAAUAUUGCGGUGUCCGUAAACACUCCUGGAUUCGCUCUCCAUCAGUUGGCAUAUGGAAACGUUAUCCAGCCCACCAUGCUCAUCCGCUCCUAUUUCUAACUGUUGUAAUAACCAUCCACUGGUGCCUGCUCCAUGAAAAGCUGUCCUUUCCUGCACAGGACUCAAACAAGUUAACCCGUGUUCCGAUUUGAAGUCGCUGAAUAUUUCCUAUUAAUCACAACUUCAACUACCAAUCUUCAGCUUUACAUCCCAAAAGUUUAGGACGUGUUACUGCAGUGAUCAAGGUAGUGCAUUUCAUUGGCGCCAAUCCCUGCAGGAGUGCAGGUCUCGCCUCAUAAUAGGAAGCACACAACAAACUUCCAGUGACAGAGAUUUUGUCUAUCAGAGAAUGAGACCAAAUGUGUGGCAUCUGGUUGUCUCUCCCCCCCCCCCCAAAAAAAAAAGACCACAAAUUUCUUCAAUUUGCUGGUAGAUCUCAGAGAGCUAGCAAUACUGCAGACAGGAACUCUUGCUUAAUGCCACCACUUAAGCUAGGUAACAAAGUCAAAUCAAGUUAUAUUUAAUUGUUAUUGUCAAAACAGUGAAUCGCCCAUUAGUAGUUUACAAACAAAUUUAUUAAUCAGGAUCUUUAGUGUAUACAUAUGUAUAAUCUAUGGUGAUGUGACGAUGUCCUUGUCCUGACGUGUCUUUGCAGUGUCUGACCCUCGGUCAAGGUUUUCUAGAUAGUUGAUUUUGGUAUUUAGAACUUUUAGGAUUUUUCGCUACAAAUUUGAAAACCCAUAUGUUUCUAAUGAUUCUUUUAAUUAUUCAAAAUUUAGACUUGACUAAUGAAAUUAAUUUUGUGGGAAACUGCGGACAAGUAGAGCGAAACUUGUGCUACUGUGGUCUCAUUAUUCUCCUCUUUACACGCGGAAAAGCCCAGUGAUGAAUGGAUAAUAAAGUAAUGAGGUCGCCAAGCUGCUCUUGUAAUAGCCAAAAUGGCUAGUUAGUGCAAUGAUAUUUCGUUGCAAUAGAUUUUACCUGCUCAUGCAGGUAGGUGACAAUCCAUUCCGUCUACUCGUCCGUGGAUGCUAAGGGCUAUCACUAGAUCGAGACACUGUUCGAGAACGUAUUAGUUAUUCAUCACGGGUACUUUUUCCCUGACAUUUUCCUCCUUAAAAUGGUAGCCUGGUGAAGUGUGAGCUUCUUCGUUGCAGACCAAUGGACAAGAUUUGUUGCAGCAGGCUGGCGAAAGGUGUCCCUCUUGCAGGCUCGCUACCUGUACAGGUUGCAGCUUUUGUCACAUGCAGCAACACAUCAGAACAAUUUAAAUAGGAUUAACAGCCUCUUAACUCAAGGUCUGAGCUACUUUGUUGGUCCAAUGUGCAUGCUUCGUAGAAUAUUUCAUAUUGAUAAAAUUUAUUUAAUGAAGGUAAAUGGUAAAUAUUUAUGAUUGGGGAUGAAAAACUUCUGUACAUAAUAGUAUUAAUAAGAUUGUAAACAGUUAUAGUACUUUAUGAAAUCUUUAAAAUACAAUGUUAUAUAUA